CUCUACUUUAACAUGGAAGUACUUGCUGGAUGCUUGAAAAAGUAAGUGCUUCCAUGUUUUAGUUGUGG
rnacentral:pre_miRNA from 1 species